rnacentral:rRNA from 1 species
UACGGAGGAUGCGAGCGUUAUCCGGCUUUAUUGGGUUUAAAGGGAGCGCAGGCGGCGAGUUAAGUCAGCGGUAAAAUUUCGGGGCUCAACCCCGGCCCGCCGUUGAAACUGGCAGUCUCGAGUUGGAGAGAAGUAUGCGGAAUGCGCGGUGUAGCGGUGAAAUGCAUAGAUAUCGCGCAGAACUCCGAUUGCGAAGGCAGCAUGCCGGCUCCACACUGACGCUGAGGCACGAAAGCGUGGGUAUCGAACAGG